AAUAACCUCAUUUUUCGUUUUUUCGUAUCCAACGUUUGACCAUUCGUCUUAUUUAAAAAUUUUAUAAAAAACUUAAAAAAAAUUAGUCACGUAUAAAAUACUAUUCAUAUUUUAUCGUCUAGUAACAAUAAAAAUAUUAAUCACAAAAAAAUUUAAAUAAGACGAAUAGUUAAACGUUGAACACGAAAAA
rnacentral:pre_miRNA from 1 species